AACGAACGCUGGCGGCAGGCUUAACACAUGCAAGUCGAGCGCCCCGCUAGGGGAGCGGGAGACGGGUGAGUAACGCGUGGGGACGUACCUCUUGGUUCGGAACAACGCCGGGAAACUGUAGCUGAUACCGGAUAUGCCCCCACGGGGAAAGAUUUAUCGCCGAAAGAUCGGCCCGCGUCUGAUUAGCUAGUUGGUGAGGUAACGGCUCACCAAGGCGACGAUCAGUAGCUGGUCUGAGAGGAUGAUCAGCCACACUGGGACUGAGACACGGCCCAGACUCCUACGGGAGGCAGCAGUGGGGAAUAUUGGACAAUGGGCGCAAGCCUGAUCCAGCCAUGCCGCGUGAGUGAUGAAGGCCUUAGGGUUGUAAAGCUCUUUUGUCCGGGAAGAUAAUGACUGUACCGGAAGAAUAAGCCCCGGCUAACUUCGUG
rnacentral:rRNA from 1 species